rnacentral:misc_RNA from 1 species
UCCGAUUUGUCACCGGCAGUCUCCUAUGAGUCCCCGUCUUUCACGCUGGCAACAUAGGACAGGGGUUGCGCUCGUUGCGCCACUUAAGGCAACACCUCACGGCAUGAGCUGACGACAGCCAUGCAGCACCUGUGCAGGCUCCCGAAGGAGCGCCGUGUUUCCACGGCUUCACCCUGCAUGUCAAGUCCUGGUAAGGUUCUUCGCGUUGCGUCGAAUUAAGCCACAUGCUCCGCCGCUUGUGCGGGCCCCCGUCAAUUCCUUUGAGUUUUAGCCUUGCGGCCGUACUCCCCAGGCGGGGCGCUUAAUGCGUUAGCUUCGGCACGGAUCCCGUGGAAGGAAACCCACACCUAGCGCCCACCGUUUACGGCGUGGACUAC